rnacentral:rRNA from 1 species
GACGAACGCUGGCGGCGUGCUUAACACAUGCAAGUCGAACGGAAAGGCCCUGCUUGCAGGGUACUCGAGUGGCGAACGGGUGAGUAACACGUGGGUGAUCUGCCCUGCACUUCGGGGUAAGCCUGGGAAACUGGGUCUAAUACCGGAUAGGAGCCAUUUUUAGUGUGAUGGUUGGAAAGUUUUUUCGGUGUAGGAUGAGCUCGCGGGCUAUCAGCUUGUUGGUGGGGUAAUGGCCUACCAAGGCGGCGACGGGUAGCCGGCCUGUGAGGGUGGACGGCCACAUUGGGACUGAGGGACGGCCCAGACUCCUACGGGAGGCAGCAGUGGGGAAGAUUGCACAAUGGGCGCAAGCCGGAUGCAGCGACGCCGCGUGGGGGAUGACGGCCUUCGGGUUGUAAAAUCCUUUCGCUAGGGACGAAGCUUUUUGUGACGGUACCUAGAUAAGAAGCACCGGCUAACUACGUG